rnacentral:rRNA from 1 species
AACGAACGCUGGCGGCAGGCCUAACACAUGCAAGUCGAGCGCCCCCUUCGGGGUGGGCUGCGGUCGGGUGUGUAACGCGUGGGAACGUGCCCGUUUCUACCGAAUUCCCUCGUGACACUGGGGGUAAUACCGGAUAAGCCACUUGGGGAAAAGAUUCGUCGUAAGAGGAUCGGCCCGGGAUGUUUUAGGUUGUUGCGGGGGUAAUAGCCUACCAAGCCGUCGCUCCAUAGCUGGGUUGAGAGGAUGAUCAGCGACACUGGGACUGGGACACGGCCCAGACUCCUACGGGAGGCAGGAGUGGGUAAUCUUAGACAACGGCGGCAAUGCUGAUCUAGCCAGGCCGGGUGAGUGAUGAAGGCCUUAGAGUUGUAAAGCUCUUUCAGCUGGGAAGAUAAUGACGGUACCAGAAGAAGAAGCCCCGGCUAACUCCGUG